AACGCAAAUUGCACUCUCUGGUAUUCCGGGGAGUAUGCCUGUUUGAGGGUCAGUUUAAAUAAAAAUCGAGGUGUUGCUUUUUUUUUGUGACGCAUCGGAAUUGGGUUUUUAUCUUUUUGUCCUUCGGGAUUUUAAGAGACCUAAAAUUGAUUACCUUGUGCAUCUCAGACGUACAUAAGAAAUAUCUUUUUUUAUCCGUUCGGAAUGCCAACUUUUAUUAGGUAUGACCAUGUUAUUCUUGUGGUAAUCGUACCUAUAACAUAAUAUCAUAUUUUGACCUCAAAUCAGGUAGGAGUACCCGCUGAACUUAA
rnacentral:misc_RNA from 1 species